GUUCGACUAUUGUUCAUGUAUGUGUUCACGUGUGCAUGUGUGUGUGUGUUCAGCCCAUAAAACACCACAUACAGUGUCAUGUGAUCUUCAGAUAACUUAUAUAUCAGUGGGUUUCAGCUUCAACAUCAAACAGCCUUCAGCAACACAGUGGAAAAUAACAUCAUCUGACUGAGCUAAAACCAGGUCUUCAUCUCAACAUGUCAGAGGGCGUUGAGCAUGAAAAGCAAGAGGG